UUGCAAAUAAAGAUAGUAAUACUACACAAAAUGAGACAGCUGACAAGAAGCAACUGGAGCAAAGUAGUGAAGGGGAGAAGAAAGAAAGUGUUGGUGCUCCUUCAGAGAAUAGAAUCUUAAAGAAGAAGAAAUCCAAGAAAGAAAAAU